GACGAACGCUGGCGGCGUGCUUAACACAUGCAAGUCGAGCGGUAAGGCCCUUUCGGGGGUACGACGAGCGGCGAACGGGUGAGUAACACGUGGGUGACCUGCCCUCAGCUCUGGGAUAAGCCUGGGAAACCGGGUCUAAUACUGGAUAUGACUCCAUGACGCAUGUUGUGGGGUGGAAAGCCUUGUGCGGCUGAGGAUGGGCCCGCGGCCUAUCAGCUUGUUGGUGGGGUGANGGCCUACCAAGGCGACGACGGGUAGCCGGCCUGAGAGGGCGACCGGCCACACUGGGACCGAGACACGGCCCAGACUCCUACGGGAGGCAGCAGUGGGGAAUCUUGCGCAAUGGGCGAAAGCCUGACGCAGCGACGCCGCGUGAGGGAUGACGGCCU
rnacentral:rRNA from 1 species